CUACUUCAGAACCCUAGUGCUAACUGCUGGGAUGACACUGCCUGGUCUCCUGUAGACGGAAGGUUUUAUUCCAACCAGGCGUGUAUUGAUAAAAGAGAAGAG